UUACCCUUAACCUUUGAAGCAAAACUUUUUUUGGUUGCUGUAAUUGUGAGAUUGCUGCUAGAUAAGCCAAUAAAGAGUAAGACCAAGUGGUGUUGCUUGUUUUGACAGCAUUUGGUCUGGAUUUCAGUUGUCCUAUGUUUGAAAAGCAUAAGGUCUGGACAUUUAAAAAAAAAAAGGCACAAAAAAGGUUAUUUAGGCACACAAACAUCAAGAAUCAGCCUGAGAAUCUCAACAAUGGUGACCAUCAAAAAGCUUGUUGCACUGCAUUCUGGGUGCCACCAAUCAAAACUGAUUUAUGAAUCCCAUCAUGUUGUCUGUCACCAUUCUUGAGAAACAUAUGCUGUUUCUUGAUGUCACUUAGUGCCAAAGAGAAAGUUUCCCUUCUCCAUCACAUUUUUUUUUCCUUAAUCAGAAUUCUUAAACUCUGGAUUUCAUACAAAAAUCCAGGUCUUCUAUUGCAGAAUUACAGAUGUUGCUUUAAUGAAUGUCAAUUUGUCUCCGAUAACAGGCUCAAUUUAUAACGCUCAAGCCAAACAAAGACCACCGCAAUUCUGUCAGCAAAACUUGCUGUUAUAAUUGAGUUACAACAACAGUACAAAAUGUAACAUUAAAAAGUCAAGGGUCAAGAGCCCAACUAAAGCAAACACUGACCACUAUAAUGGUAACCCUAUAAAUGUACCCUUUUUUCCUUCAGUGAUUCUGUUUGUGAACCUUAGGUGUCUUCAAUAACUUUUGGGGGACUGAAGACACACACUUCUGAACAUGAUGCCUGUAUCAUAUCUAUUUAAGCAACAAAAAUGUGAACAUGUAUAGUGUUUAAUGAUCCCCAACUACUGGCCUGGCAUGUAUAACAUAGUAUUCUUUAGCAUAGUGUUUUUUGUUUGUUUGUUUUCAAUAACAUCAAUAUUUUUGUGAAAAUUUUAAUUAAUUUUUUCAUGUUAUUCUACUCAUUUUGAAUGGUUGGUUGUAACCAUCUAAUUUGAUUAUUAAUAAUUAAUUAUAAAGUGUUAAAUUUAAUUAAUAAUAUUGAAUGUAACAUUUUAAACAAUUUUAUUGAGUAAAUAAAGUGAAUCAUUUUUUACAGUGUAGAAACCUUAGCAGAAAAUGAUUUAUAUAAAUGAGCUUCAACACUUGCUCUAUCAUUAUUUUUCUGUCAAACUGCUCUACCUUUAACAGUGACAGUAACAGCGUCUGAUCUCUGAGAUCCAUGUUGAUUGUGAGCCUCACAGUAGAAGCGUCCACUCUGUAGUGCACUGAAACUCUGUCCAGAUCCAACAGCUGAGCUUUGAUUCUCCUUAAACCAGCUGAAGUUCAGAGCAGGAGGGUUUGAAUCACUGCUGCAGAUCAGAGUCACUGAAUCUCCCUCCACUAUUACACCUGAUCCAUUUAUAGACACUGAGACAUUCCUGGGAGGAUCUGAAAACAAUCACCACACUAUUAAAGACCUCUUAUAAAUUAAAAAAAUAUUAAUGUGAGCUAAAAUUAUAAAAACAAUCUAAUAUACGCACAUGUGACGUUUAAAGUCACACCAGCAGAGUAUUUCUCUCCAUGUUUAUUUCUGGACUUGCACUUGUAUUCUCCACUGUGAUCAGAGCUGAUCUUUGAGAUGCUGUAGAUUCUUCCAGAUCCUACAAACUUUUUUUCUUUAAACCAGCUGAUUUCUGCAGGAGGGUUUGAAUCACUGCUGCAGAUCAGAGUCACUGAAUCUCCCUCCAAUAUUACAGAUGGACUGGUGGACACUGAGACGCUUUUUGGUGGAUCUAAAGAGGACACAUAUGAAAUGUGUAGUUCAAAUCAUUAACUCAGCAAGUUCAAAAUAACUAAUGAGUCUGUACUCACAGGUGACAUUUAGCUGAGCAGCAGGAGAGAUGUAAGUGUGUCCAUGUAGAGCACAGCUGUAUCUGCCUGCAUCCUCUCUUCUGACUGACUGCAGCAGGAGUUGAUUGUUUCUGUCUCUUCUCUCAGUUAAUGGCUGUGAGUUUCUGUACCAGAUGAAUGUUGCUCUGUCAGUCAGAGUGCAGCUGCUUUUACAUGUCAGACUGACAUUAUGACCCUCUGUCACUCUCUCAGGAGCCUCCACCUGAAGAUCUGAACACAACACACACAUUAUAUCUAGUGCUGCUGUCAUACACUGAUUAUUAUUCAACAUAAUGCUCAGAAGAAGAGCUCAGCCUCAUGAAAGUCACCUGUGACAGUAAGAUUCACUCCUGGAUUACCAAGCCAUUUCACAUCAGGUUCAUCAGAGAUGAAUUUGAAACAGUACAAGUGUUGGUCGUUCUGUGUCACAUGACUCAGUCUGAUGGUGCAGUUCUGCUGUUUGUCUCCCAGAUACUGAAGCCUCUGACUGUAUUCAGGAUCAUCAGACAGAUCUGGAGGCUCUUCAGCCUUUACAGGGUUUUUGGUCCAGAACACUUUCUCAAUCUUAUAUCCAGUAGGGUAUGUAUAAGUGCAGCUCAUUAUCACUGAUGAGUUCUUUAGUGCACAGAUGUGUGAAGGACUGUAACUCACACCCCAACCUUUUUCACUGAAAACAUCUGAAAUGAGUUUUGUUUUAUUUAAACAAAAACUACAAUUAACAUCAAUAUUUCUUCAGUAAAACAACAGUAAGAUAAUUUUGGCAUUGAAUUAAUAAGGAAAUCACUGGAUAGACAUAACAAAGACACACUUCACGCGGGUCUUCAUGCUGCACACACUGUAAAAAAUAAUUCAGUGGCUUAGUAAAUUUCACAAAAAUAAAGAGCUAUAUUUACUUAAUAAAAUCUUUUGAAAUCAUUUAAGUGAUAUUUUGAGUGGGUCAGGUUAAAAAUAAUAAUUAAAAAUCCAACAAAUAAUUUCUCUAAAAUUUACAUAUAUUAUUUAAGUUUAUGUAAUGAAAAUAAAUAAGUAUUUAACUAACUAAUUAUAUUUUUAAUAUACCCUCAAUAUUUCUGGUGAAUUCUAAUAGAAAUAUUUGAUAAUUAUUUACUUGUACUGAUCUGUUUUAGAAACUAAAAUUAUUAAGUAUUUCCUACCAAUUUUCCUAAAUAAAGUUCCAGCUUAAUAAAUGACGGUUUAAAUAAAUUGAGUAAAUUUCGCGGCUAAAGUGAUCACGUGUGCAGCUCCACAGGAAAAAAAUAUCUGCUUUCCUCAGCAGAGCAGAGACGUCGACUAGCCUUACUCCUCACAACUCCUCACAACUCCUGGUAAGUAACGUUAGUCAGCUAAUCCUACUUACGUUUGUAACACUUUAUUAUAAAGUUAAUAAUUAUUAAGCAUUUCCUAACAAUUGUCUUUGUAUUUUACGUCAUCUUCAACAAGUUUCGUAGCUUAAUCGAAGUCACCCGAAGGACGGCUUUCCUGAGUUUCCUCAGCAACGGCAAGACCCGCACUCCUCUCAUAUCGUGAAGUUUAACAAGUUUCGUGGCUCAAGCAAGAGGCACAUGUCACUGAAGGACUGCUUUUCUCAGCAACGACGUGAACAGCAUUACUCGAAUUUCCUGGUUCAGCUGAUCUACCAGUCUUCGUACAAGCAGAGUUGGCAGAGGAGGUCAUAAAAAUCUACAUCCUUCGGGACAAUGAUGGGGCAGUCAGCGAUGUAGGAGUUGUGAUUGAGGGCAUCACUGUCCUCCGCAAUCUUGGGAAUCUCAGCAGAGCCUGCUGCUAUCUUUUGGGAGUCACGUAUGCAUUGGAUUUGAGAUAUCCCAAGACCCACAAAAAUUAGCAUAUUGUGAUA